AAAAAGUGUUGAGAACACAUUAUUCUGUUUAAAGAUCCUGUAAAGUUUUCUCCAUGACUACAACAAUGAAGAAUUUGCAAGAGUUGCUAAUCGAGUACACAUCAGAAAACGGAUGUAUUACACAAGGUCGGCCAGUCUGGUGCUCUCAAAUCGUCAUGUGGCUCGUCUUGUCAAUAAAAACCAUAGACGCGGAACUGGACAACAUCUGGAAAAUCAGUUUACAAGAAAGAAAUGGGUCCAUUUUCUAUUGUCAAAGCAGAAGAAUUGCAGCGCGUUUUCUCUUUUCGACCGUGAAUGUGUACCGAACGUCCACGCCCUGUUUUACAUCAUAGCCGCGCGUCGAUUUUAAACGAAAUAUCUCGAACACGACGUGGACGAUGCAUCGAAUGGGCACUUUCCCGUUAAGGAAACAUUUUUGACGCAUUUGCAAAAGCCAUUGGCACGAUGGAGAAAGUUCGGCGAAAGAUUCUGCGUGGUGUUGAUUUAAUUAUUUGUUUAGUUAACAGCCGUUUAAAGAAAAAAAAAAAAAAAAACGAAAGCGAAAUCAUUCCGAAAUUCACUUAGUUGGAAUCAGAUUUAACAGUGGACUCCGUUACUUUUCUCGUAUUAAUUAUGUCAGAAUAUCUUGACAGGCCCGUCAAGUCGAUUGUGAAAUACGUCACUUGGAUUGUUGAAAUAUAUUCACUUCAUUUAAUUGUUGAAAUACAUUGGCUCAUUCCAAAACGUAUUUCACAAUCGAACUUGAAACACCUGCUUCGCUAUUAAUAUGAUUUCACGACGGCCAUAAAUCUCAACUUAAAACACAAAUAGAAUUCAAUUCAUUUUUAAAAAAGCCAAAUAUUAUGGGAAUUCGGAAGACAAUCAUUUCACGUGACAAUGCUGAAUGGGGUUAACGGUAACGCAGCGGCAGUAUUCCGGCAACUACCGGGACAGACAACGGCUGUUACUUCAAUUUCACGCUACGAUUAGGUUGCGUUUGAAUGCCAUCAGGGUUGUCUCGUUCAGCGGCGUACGUGGUUUCUCGAACAAGAUCAUAAAAAUACUUUUUUUCUUUUAGUGUCGUCUUACUUUUGUACUAUACUAUUUCUGUAAGCUCUCUCCAAUGAAUCACCGACAACCUAAAUCUAUUUAGUAAAAAAAAAAUCCCUUCAGCAAACCAAACAUUCGUCAAAUAACAGCGCGCGGUCCACUUU